GAGAGUAUAGCUCAGUGGUAGAGUGCAUGAUGCUUAGCAAGCAUGAGGUCCUGGGUCCAAUCCCCAGUGCUUCCA
rnacentral:tRNA from 1 species